GAGUUUGAUCAUGGCUCAGAUUGAACGCUGGCGGCAUGCCUUACACAUGCAAGUCGAACGGCAGCACGGGAGCUUGCUCCUGGUGGCGAGUGGCGAACGGGUGAGUAAUGCAAUCGGAACGUAUCCUGGAGUGGGGGAUAACGUAGCGAAAGUUACGCUAAUACCGCAUAUUCUGUGAGCAGGGAAAGCGGGGGGACCUUCGGGCCUCGCGCUCUUGGAGCGGCCGAUGUCGGAUUAGCUAGUUGGUGA
rnacentral:rRNA from 1 species